GUGGGGAAUUUUGGACAAUGGGCGCAAGCCUGAUCCAGCAAUGCCGCGUGCAGGAAGAAGGCCUUCGGGUUGUAAACUGCUUUUGUACGGAACGAAACGGUCCUGGCUAAUAUCCGGGGCUAAUGACGGUACCGUAAGAAUAAGCACCGGCUAACUACGUGCCAGCAGCCGCGGUAAUACGUAGGGUGCGAGCGUUAAUCGGAAUUACUGGGCGUAAAGCGUGCGCAGGCGGUGCUGUAAGACAGGCGUGAAAUCCCCGGGCUCAACCUGGGAAUUGCGCUUGUGACUGCAGUGCUGGAGUGCGGCAGAGGGGGAUGGAAUUCCGCGUGUAGCAGUGAAAUGCGUAGAUAUGCGGAGGAACACCGAUGGCGAAGGCAAUCCCCUGGGCCUGCACUGACGCUCAUGUACGAAAGCGUGGGGAGCAAACAGGAUUAGAUACCCCUGUAGUCC
rnacentral:rRNA from 1 species